ACCUUUUAAUUUUUUUUUUUAUUUGCAUUAUUUUUUUAUUUUUAUUUUUUUUUAAUUGAGUUAUGAUGUUAUUUGAGCUUUGUUAUUGUGUUUGGACAAGUUUUGUGAAGGGUUUUAUGAGUUCUGGUCAUUUGUGUGUAUGUUACUUAAAUUUUUUGUAAUUUGAGAAUUUGGGUAUUUGAGGUUCUUGCAUUAGCAAUAUUAAAAAUUGAUUUUUUUUUUAAAUUUUUUAAAUUUUUUUUUUUCCUUAAAAAUUGAAUCUUGGAUUGGAAAGAAUGAGUCUUUUGUGUUUUGCCAGUGUGAGUUUGUUGCUUUCUGUGGCUAGCUUGAUUUGGGUAAGUUUUUAUGUUUUUAAUCUUGAAGGGUUUUUUGAGUUUUGAUCAUUUGUGUAUGUUAAGUUUUUUUUUUUUAA